GUUUGAUGGGGUCCUUCUCGUGCCCCCACCCUAGAAGGGCAUGAGGGGACACCUGGCCCAAAGCCUUUCCCCCCCGAGGCUGCCUCUGCCGCACGGAUCCUCGUCCCCAACUAGUAUUCCUGGGUAAAGGGGGUAACCGCAGGUAGCAAGACAUCCAGGCGUAUAGAGAAAGGAGUGCCACCAACAGAGUAAACGGGGCAGCACCCCAAGGUGGAAGAGGUAAGUCAGGCAGUGCAUGUCAGUCCCAAGUGUGAGCAUGUAGUGGGUA